CAGCCGCCACGGGAAUACGAAGGGUGCAAGCGUUAAUCGGAAUUACUGGGCGUAAAGCGCGCGUAGGUGGUUUGGUAAGAUGGAUGUGAAAUCCCCGGGCUCAACCUGGGAACUGCAUCCAUAACUGCCUGACUAGAGUACGGUAGAGGGUGGUGGAAUUUCCUGUGUAGCGGUGAAAUGCGUAGAUAUAGGAAGGAACACCAGUGGCGAAGGCGACCACCUGGACUGAUACUGACACUGAGGUGCGAAAGCGUGGGGAGCAAACAGGAUUAGAUACCCGAGUAGUCCCUGUCUCUUAUAA
rnacentral:rRNA from 1 species